GAUCCUGGCUCAGGAUGAACGCUAGCUACAGGCUUAACACAUGCAAGUCGAGGGGCAGCAUUUCAGUUUGCUUGCAAACUGGAGAUGGCGACCGGCGCACGGGUGAGUAACACGUAUCCAACCUGCCGAUAACUCGGGGAUAGCCUUUCGAAAGAAAGAUUAAUACCCGAUGGUAUAAUUAGACCGCAUGGUCUUGUUAUUAAAGAAUUUCGGUUAUCGAUGGGGAUGCGUUCCAUUAGGCAGUUGG
rnacentral:rRNA from 1 species